rnacentral:rRNA from 1 species
GACGAACGCUGGCGGCGUGCCUAAUACAUGCAAGUCGAACGCAGUCGGGACGGGUGAGUAACACGUGGGUAACCACCCAUCAGAGGGGAUAACACUUGGAAACAGGUGCUAAACCGAUACUGAUGGAUGGACCCGCGGUGCAUUAGCUAGUUGGUGAGGUAACGGCUCACCAAGGCCACGAUGCAUAGCGGACCUGAGAGGGUGAUCGGCAACACUGGGACUGAGACACGGUGCAGAUUCCUACGGGAGGCAGCCGUAGGGAAUUUUACGCAAUGGACCAAAGUCUGAGCGAGAAACGCCUCGGGGACGAAGAAGUUUUUCGGAUCGUAAAACUCUGUUGUGAGAGAAGCGGUAUUUAACCAGAACGCGACGGCUAAGUACGUGCCAGCAGCCGCGGUAAUUC